rnacentral:sRNA from 1 species
GCCGGGCGUGGUGGCUCAGGCCUGUAAUCCCAGCCCUUUGGGAGGCUGAGGCAGGUGGAUCACCUGAGGCCAGGAGUUCGAGACCAGCCUGGCCAACAUGGUGAAACCUGUCUCUA